UCCUACGGGAGGCAGCAGUGAGGAAUAUUGGUCAAUGGGCGAGAGCCUGAACCAGCCAAGUAGCGUGCAGGAUGACGGCCCUAUGGGUUGUAAAACUGCUUUUAUGCGGGGAUAAAGUGAGCCACGUGUGGCUUAUUGCAGGUACCGCAUGAAUAAGGACCGGCUAAUUCCGUGC
rnacentral:rRNA from 1 species